CACGUAGGGCGCAAGCGUUGUCCGGAAUUAUUGGGCGUAAAGAGCUCGUAGGCGGACUGUUGCGUCCGCUGUGAAAAGCUGGGGCUUAACCCUGGCCUUGCAGUGGAUACGGGCAGACUAGAGGUAGGUAGGGGAGAAUGGAAUUCCCGGUGUAGCGGUGAAAUGCGCAGAUAUCGGGAGGAACACCGGUGGCGAAGGCGGCACUCUGGGCCGGAACUGACGCUGAGGAGCGAAAGCGUGGGUAGCAAACAGG
rnacentral:rRNA from 1 species